rnacentral:rRNA from 1 species
GACGAACGCUGGCGGCGUGCUUAACACAUGCAAGUCGAACGAAGAGCGAUGGAAGCUUGCUUCUAUCACUCUUAGUGGCGAACGGGUGAGUAACGCGUAAUCAACCUGCCCUUCAGAGGGGGACAACAGUUGGAAACGACUGCUAAUACCGCAUACGAUCUAAUCUCGGCAUCGAGGAUAGAUGAAAGGUGGCCUCUACAUGUAAGCUAUCACUGAAGGAGGGGAUUGCGUCUGAUUAGCUAGUUGGAGGGGUAACGGCCCACCAAGGCGAUGAUCAGUAGCCGGUCUGAGAGGAUGAACGGCCACAGUGGGACUGAGACACGGCCCAGACUCCUACGGGAGGCAGCAGUGGGGAAUCUUCCGCAAUGGACGAAAGUCUGACGGAGCAACGCCGCGUGAGCGAUGACGGCCUUCGGGUUGUAAAGCUCUGUUAAUCGGGACGAAAGGCCUUCUUGCGAAUAGUGAGAAGGAUUGACGGUACCGGAAUAGAAAGCCACGGCUAACUACGUG